rnacentral:rRNA from 1 species
CGAACGCUGGCGGCAGGCCUAAUACAUGCAAGUCGAACGGCUCUUCGGAGCAGUGGCGGACGGGUGAGUAACGCGUGGGAAUGUGCCCUUAGGUACGGAACAACACAGGGAAACUUGUGCUAAUACCGUAUGUGCCCUUCGGGGGAAAGAUUUAUCGCCUUUGGAGCAGCCCGCGUUGGAUUAGGUAGUUGGUGAGGUAAAGGCUCACCAAGCCGACGAUCCAUAGCUGGUCUGAGAGGAUGACCAGCCACACUGGGACUGAGACACGGGCCAGACUCCUACGGGAGGCAGCAGUAGGGAAUCUUGCGCAAUGGGCGAGAGCCUGACGCAGCCAUGCAGCGUGUAUGAUGAAGGUCGUAGGAUUGUAAAAUACUUUCACCGGGGAAGAUAAUGACGGUACCCGGAGAAGAAGCCCCGGCUAACUUCGUGCCAGCCGCCGCCGUAAAAC